AUAGAUAAUGGUGUUCCAGUAGCAUUGUGGUUUACGCAGUCACCUCACGCCGUUUUGACACGAAAUAGAUCCUCAUCAUUGACAAUGGGAUGGUAUGGCGAUCGUCCACUCGAACACGUGGACUGAACGCCUGGAAAAUGAUGCAUGACACAACGAAACUAGCACUGGAAAACAAAAACAAGAAGAAAAUAUAGAAUAACUGUGAAAAAAUGCCAUUUUACUUUGAAUCAACCACAGUACUUACCAUUAUAGGGAUCCAACAAGCAGCAUGUGUAACCAAGAUAGCGAUUAAAAAGAUUAAAAUGUAGACUUCGUUCCUUCUCUCGCGCUUUUUCCCUUUGACGCUUUUCAUACUCCCUCGACGAGCACUGCGCGUCCCCUUGCAAAUGGCAUAAAUAACUAAACAAUUGAAAACUGAUGACGAUAUAAUGCUAAGAAUUCCCAG